GACGAACGCUGGUGGCGUGCUUAACACAUGCAAGUCGAACGGGAUUUAGUAAACAGAAGCCUCGGUGGAAGAUUACUAAUGAGAGUGGCGAACGGGUGAGUAACGCGUGAUCAACCUGCCUAUGACAGUGGGAUAGCCUCGGGAAACCGGGAUUAAUACCGCAUAAAAUCGUAGAAACACAUGUUUUAACGGUCAAAGAUUUAUCGGUCAUAGAUGGGCUCGCGUCUGAUUAGCUAGUUGGGGAGAGAACAGCCCACCAAGGCGACGAUCAGUAGCCGGUCUGAGAGGAUGAACGGCCACAUUGGAACUGAGACACGGUCCAAACUCCUACGGGAGGCAGCAGUGGGGAAUAUUGCACAAUGGGGGAAACCCUGAUGCAGCGACGCCGCGUGAACGAAGAAGGUAUUCGUAUCGUAAAGUUCUGUCCUAUGGGAAGAUAAUGACAGUACCAUAGAAGAAAGCUCCGGCUAAAUACGUG
rnacentral:rRNA from 1 species